rnacentral:piRNA from 1 species
CCUGGGCUUUGAUCUCCGCAUCUGAAA